UCCACUGACAGUUUCCCCUCUCUGCCAUAGCUGAUAUCUGGUUUAACGGACCUUCAACAAACCCUCAGAGAAGGACUCAGUGGAUAUAAGAUGCUCUUGUUGUCAGUGCUUGACGUUUCCUCCGUGUUCCUCGACUCUAUUUCACAGCUCUGUGAGCAUGUCAUGAUCCCUGUGCUGCCGGUGCGGUUUUAGACAAGACUUUCUCACCAUCUAAGGAUAUGUUCACCUGCUGUAGUGAUUUCUCUGUCUCUCUGAAGCCUCCAGCCCUAAUGAAUGACCUACAUUUUCUUGGCGCUUUCUGUCAGGUGCUCAGUUUAUGUAACUGGGGUUAAACGUUCGGAAAUCAGGGCUCGAAAUUAGCACACAUCAUCUAAAGCUUGAAGCUGGCACCGGGAAAUACACACGUUCCUUAUGACUAGGGAUGGGAAUAGUAAAGAGUGCAUAUGAAACGGCGUGCUGAAAACAGAGCUGAUUUUGACCAGGGAAUGAAAAACAGAGAAAGAAGUAUUAAAUUUCCCGACGUGUCGGUUUUAUUUCUGACCAAAAUCUCAGGAUCUUCCUCAAGGCUGACUAGAAGGCAUUGGCAACACCCAUCAGCAGGAAAUGAUCAAAGAACAACAUCAUGAAUUCACCUGAAGCUAUAUGCACUGAUUCUGUGCCGUUAUUCUUGGAAAUCAUAUAAACAUCUCUUUCUUCUCUGAAUCCCAGCACAGCUUCCACCCCAUGGACUUUUUGAACAUAUCGAGCCAGCGCUGCUAAGCAAACGCAGUGCCAGGGAAACAAUGUGUAUCUGCACCCAUUUAAAACACAUCAAGUCUGCACGUAUCGGGCUUCCAUUCAGGACAGUGGAUUAAACUUUAAACCCAACCGAUUGUCCCCAACAAAAAGCAAACAUUUAACACAGCUGAGCGAAAGGGGCCUUCAGGGCCGAGCGUGUGCACCACGUAUCCCAGAUACAGCAGGGAUAUCAUGGGAAUGUAAGGAGACUUGAAAAUGCUACUAACGUCAAUGAUGACCGAAUACAGUUAUUGAAUAAGC